rnacentral:hammerhead_ribozyme from 1 species
AUCCAGCUGACGAGUCACAAAUAGGACAAAACGCGCGUUCUGGAU